UGAGGAAUAUUGGUCAAUGGGCGAGAGCCUGAACCAGCCAAGUAGCGUGCAGGAUGACGGCCCUAUGGGUUGUAAACUGCUUUUAUGUGGGGAUAAAGUGCGUGACGUGUCACGCAUUGCAGGUACCACAUGAAUAAGGACCGGCUAAUUCCGUGCCAGCAGCCGCGGUAAUACGGAAGGUCCGGGCGUUAUCCGGAUUUAUUGGGUUUAAAGGGAGCGUAGGCUGUCUAUUAAGCGUGUUGUGAAAUUUACCGGCUCAACCGGUGGCUUGCAGCGCGAACUGGUCGACUUGAGUAUGCAGGAAGUAGGCGGAAUUCAUGGUGUAGCGGUGAAAUGCUUAGAUAUCAUGACGAACUCCGAUUGCGCAGGCAGCUUACUGUAGCAUAACUGACGCUGAUGCUCGAAAGUGCGGGUAUCAAACAGG
rnacentral:rRNA from 1 species